UGGAAGCCUCUGCUUGUGUCCUGUGUCCCCUUGAUGCCAGGCCCACUUCAUCUCAGAACCACAAACCCAGCUGCCAAAACACGGGAGAGUAAUAUCCACCUUACUGGUGUUUUUGUGGGUAGCUGGAGGAGAGGUCACAUUGCACACCGUGGACAAAGCGUGAUCCAUUUCCUUGCAGAGGGCUCUCCCCAGCUGUCCUGAGUCUUUUCUCUCUGCUCCUCCCCCUCCGUGAUGCUUACAGAUUUCCCCAGA